CGGGGUGCUGACUACCGGCUGGGCCAUACUGAAGCCCCACCCAACCUCCCCCUGGGAGUGGUCCACAGAGGGGACUCCAAGACACACCUCACCCAGAAUCUGCUGUUUCCAUCGCUGGGGAAAAUGAAUAGCUUUUGCUUUUGGGAAAGCACGUGAGUAGGUGUGGUUGGCAGAGCGGCAGCAAGUGCAAGUCCCUGGCAGUGCAAGGAGAGGACGGGCCGGCCGAAACCAGGAGGCGCCAUCAGAGAAAGAUGAUGAUGUAUGCAGACAAACAUCCACGCUCCAAAGGGCCACGCACACGCAGACCACAGCUGCCACUGUAAUGAUACGUGGUCAAGAGAACAGAGGCCCUGCUGCCUGUGACUUUAGUCACCUUGAUCACCCCAGUCUCCCGUCACCAGGGUUACAGCAAGAACCUUGCCUCCCUGGCAUCUGAAGUGCGUCUCACGUGCAAGGAACCCCUGGGAGGAAUUGCCCCGAGUGUAGACUGCCCACCUGCUCCUGUGCCUAUAGUACAAGAGUUCGUGCCAUGAAACCAGCAUCUUACUGAGUCCAUCCCAUUGUGGGUGACAGCUGGGCUGUUUACAGUCUGAAGUUACUGUGAAUGAUGCUGCCACAAAGUUCCCAGCGCCUGUCACUUGUUCCUGGGACCCGGUACGGGGAGACUGUCCGCCAGCCCUCACCAGUUCAUGACACGGACAUACCUUAAUUUAGCUACUCAGGACCUGCAGGACUGCCAGUGCAGUGGAGGAGCAAUAGUAGAUGUCCUUGGUUUAUCGUCAAUCUCAAACAUUUCACCUUGGAUGCUUUCUGCCGGUGUCCACUGACAACCCAAGACCCCACUCCUGUUCACCCUGGUGUGCUAAGACUUUCUCAUGCAUGGGUGUUGAGUUGUAAUAAAUGUUUUCCCCGCGUC